rnacentral:rRNA from 1 species
CCUAGUGUAGCGGUGAAAUGCGUAGAGAUUAGGAGGAACACCAGUGGCGAAGGCGACUUUCUGGGCAACAACUGACGCUGAGGCACGAAAGUGUGGGGAGCAAACAGGAUUAGAUACCCUGGUAGUCCACACCGUAAACGAUGGAUACUAGGUGUUGGCAAUGAAUAAUUGUCGGUGCCGGCGCUAACGCAAUAAGUAUCCCACCUGGGGAGUACGACCGCAAGGUUGAAACUCAAAGGAAUUGACGGGGGCCCGCACAAGCAGUGGAGUAUGUGGUUUAAUUCGAUGCAACGCGAAGAACCUUACCAGGGCUUGACAUAUACAGGAAUAUAUAAGAGAUUAUAUAGCUCUACGGAGUCUGUAUACAGGUGGUGCAUGGUUGUCGUCAGCUCGUGUCGUGAGAUGUUGGGUUAAGUCCCGUAACGAGCGCAACCCCUAUGGCUAGUUGCUAACAUUAAGUUGAGGACUCUAGCAAGACUGCCGUUGUUAAAACGGAGGAAGGUGGGGACGACGUCAAAUCAUCAUGCCCUUUAUGUCCUGGGCUACACACGUACUACAAUGGGUAAGACAGAGGGAAGCGAAAGUGCGAACUGGAGCAAAACCCUAAACUUAUUCUCAGUUCGGAUUGGAGUCUGAAAUUCGGCUCCAUGAAGCUGGAAUUGCUAGUAAUGGCAGGUCAGCAUACUGCCGUGAAUACGUUCCCGGGCCUUGUACACACCGCCCGUCACACCAUGAGAGUUGGGAAUACCCGAAGCCUGUGAGCUAACUUUUAAAGAGGCAGCAGUCGAAGGUAGAAUCAAUGAUUGGGGUGAAGUCGUAACAAGGUAGCCGUAUCGGAAGGUGCGGCUG